GAGGGUAUAGCUCAGUGGUAGAGUGCACGCUUAGCAUGACGAGGUCCUGGGUUCCAUCCCCAGUGACUCCA
rnacentral:tRNA from 1 species